GUCCCAGCUCAUCUUGUUCCUCAGAUUCUUGUUUGCGUGGGGAGGAGGGAGGAGAUGGGCCAAGUUCCCUCUGCCUGGAACGCCCUUCCCCCCCUUCUUCACCUGGCGAACUCCUACUCGUCCUUCAAGACCCAGCUCAAG
rnacentral:pre_miRNA from 2 species